rnacentral:rRNA from 1 species
UGCGAGUCAACGUAGAAAUACGUGGCAUACGGCUCAGUAACACGUAGUCAACAUGCCCAGGGGACGUGGAUAACCUCGGGAAACUGAGGAUAAACCGCGAUAGGCCAUGAUUUCUGGAAUGGUUCAUGGCCGAAAUCUAUAUGGCCCCUGGAUUGGACUGCGGCCGAUCAGGCUGUUGGUGAGGUAAUGGCCCACCAAACCUGUAACCGGUACGGGCUCUGAGAGGAGGAGCCCGGAGAUGGGCACUGAGACAAGGGCCCAGGCCCUAUGGGGCGCAGCAGGCGCGAAAUCUCUGCAAUAGGCGAAAGCUUGACAGGGUUACUCUGAGUGGUUCCCGUUAAGGGGAUCUUUUGGCACCUUUAAAAAUGGUGCAGAAUAAGGGGUGGGCAAGUCUGGUGUCAGCCGCCGCGGUAAUACCAGCACCCCGAGUGGUCGGGACGAUUAUUGGGCCUAGAGCAUCCGUAGCCGGUACUGCAAGUCUUCCGUUAAAUCCACCUGCUUAACAGUUGGGCUGCGGGGGAUACUACAGCGCUAGGAGGCGGGAGAGGCAAGCGGUACUCAAUGGGUAGGGGUAAAAUCCGCUGAUCCAUUGAAGACCACCAGUGGCGAAGGCGGCUUGCCAGAACGCGCUCGACGGUGAGGGAUGAAAGCUGGGGAGCAAACCGGAUUAGAUACCCGGGUAGUCCCAGCUGUAAACGAUGCAGACUCGGUGAUGGGCUGGCCUUGUGCCAGCCCAGUGCCGCAGGGAAGCCGUUAAGUCUGCCGCCUGGGGAGUACGGUCGCAAGACUGAAACUUAAAGGAAUUGGCGGGGGAG